AAUUUUGUGGAUAAUUACUUUAAGCUCUGUAUCCAAGGAGAGGAUUUUUCCCAGAAUCAAGCCCACUAGAGUUGUAUCCAAUUUAAAGCCAAAUUUCAAAUGCUUUCUUAUUAGCUUUACUUAUUUUAGUAUAACUAUCUUCUUCGCAAUUUAGGUUUUACGAAGAGGUGAUUGUCGUAUUGUACCAUAUUUUUCAAUUAAUAUAAGACUUCAUGGACUUCCUA
rnacentral:misc_RNA from 1 species